GGAGGGGGGGGGGGGGGCAUUUCACAUCUAACGAACACUCGAGAUAACGAACAUUCCUCUCCAAAUAGUCCGCUAAAUAUAGGUUUCACAGUAUGUCCCCUUAUUUGUCCUCUACUAUGAAUCUUCCAGUCUUCCGUAGCCGCAUCAAUGUCUUCCUUUAAUCUUACGCUCUUACGGCUAGGUAGAGGUGACGUCCGCAUAUUUUCUACUAACUUAAAAGGUCUCAAAGUUGCCCCUUGUAGUACUCCCUUCAGUCUUAAACUAUAGGACCCGUCACUAGUGUUCCUUCUGUUCACGGGAUUGAUUAAAGAUACGGAGCCAGAUGAUGUCAGGUGAUGUCAGGUGUUCCCAGGUGAUGUCAGGUGUUUCCAGGUGAUGUCAGGUGUUUCCAGGUGAUGUCAGGUGUUCCCAAGUGAUGUCAGGUGUUCCCAAGUGAUGUCAGGUGUUUCCAGGUGAUGUCAGGUGUUUCCAGGUGAUGCCAGGUGUAAUGAUUGUGUUUAUUUUGUAUCAUUAUGUCAUUGAUGUAACUGUUACUUUCUUAUUGUUAUAAAUGAAAUUAUUUUGUUAGAUAUAUGAUAGUGAAAUCUUUAUAUACCGGACUUCUCUCGCUCCAUAUAAUCCGUUAGAUGGAGGUUUCACAUCUAAUGGACCUUCAAAAUAACGGAAUUUUCAGCUCCAUAGAGUCCGUUAAAUAGAGAUUUUACUGUACUAAUUUUUCCUUCAAUACUAAUGCUACUUUUUUUUAUAUGAUUAUAGUAUAUUAAGUUGUAUAAUUUUUUGUCAACUUUGAUUAUAUGUCAAAAACUCGCUAAUUAGUUUAUCCUUACAGGUAUAAUUACAAAAGGUGUAACAGGGUACCGUGUCUUUAACCAUGCCCCUAUAAUGAUGACUCAGUUGUUAAGAGGUGUAAACUUCUGAGCUGAGGUGUAUUGUCCGUCAUCCACCCCCCCCCCCCCUACUUGUCAAUAAUUACCCUUAAGCUACUCAAUAUUGAUCAUUUUAUUUGGGCAAUAUUGAUUAAUUUAUGGUUUAAUCUUGACUACUUGAUUGGUCCCUUUUAACUGGUCAUUAUUCUCAAAUUUUCGUGGUUAAUAUUCAUCAGUUUUAUGGUUUUAUAUUGACCAAUUUUGAUUGGUUAAUAUUCCUGAUGUUAUUGUUUAGUAUUGACCAGAAGUGAUGGUUUAUAUUGGGGUCAUUAAUGGUCAAUAUUUGGCUAAUUAAUGGUCAAUAUUUAUCAUUUUAUAGGUUAAUAUUUGCAAACGUCACCGCUUAGUAUUGGGCUUCAUUAGUGGUCAAUAUAUACGACUUUACUAUAUGAUAAACAGCCAUAUAGGUAGUCAAUAUUCUACAGUUUAUUUGAUCAAUAUUCUUAACCCUUCUACUGAUCAAUACUUACCACAUAAAUAUUGUUCAAUAUUCGUCACAUUACUGAUCAAUAGUCCCAACUUUACUGAUAAAUAUUUCCUAACUUUACUGAUCAUUAUUCCCCACUUUACUGUAAAUGAAGUUUCUGACUGAC